GACGAACGCUGGCGGCGUGCUUAACACAUGCAAGUCGAACGGUGAAGCGCCUUCCUUUUUGGUGGGUGUGGAUGAGUGGCGAACGGGUGAGUAACACGUGAGUAACCUGCCCCCUUCUUCUGGAUAACCGCAUGAAAGUGUGGCUAAUACGGGAUAUUCUGGGUCUGUCGCAUGAUGGGUCUGGGAAAGAUAUUGUUUCGGUGGGGGAUGGGCUCGCGGCCUAUCAGCUUGUUGGUGGGGUGAUGGCCUACCAAGGCGGUGACGGGUAGCCGGCCUGAGAGGGUGGACGGUCACACUGGGACUGAGACUCGGCCCAGACUCCUACGGGAGGCAGCAGUGGGGAAUAUGGCACAAUGGGCGCAAGCCUGAUGCAGCGACGCCGCGUGAGGGAUGGAGGCCUUCGGGUUGUGAACCUCUUUCGCCAGUGAAGCAGGCCUGCCUCGUUUGUGGGUGGGUUGACGGUAGCUGGAUAAGAAGCGCCGGCUAACUACGUG
rnacentral:rRNA from 1 species